UCUAAAAUGGCAGAUAAGUGCAUUGGGCUUAAAAUCCAUUAAUAAGAUAUUCUUUUUUAGAA
rnacentral:tRNA from 1 species